CCUACGGGAGGCAGCAGUGGGGAAUAUUGCACCAUGGGCGAAACCCUGAUGCAGCAACGCCGCGUGAAGGAAGACGGUUUUCGGAUUGUAAACUUCUGUUCUUAGUGAAGAAUAAUGAAGGUAGCUAAGGAGCAAGCCACGGCUAACUACGUGCCAGAAGCCGCGGUAAAAGUUAGGUGGAAAGCGUUGUCCGGAAUUAGUGGGUGUAAAGGAAGCGAAGGGGGGAAGCCAAGUCCGCGGGAAAAUCGCGGGGUUCAACCUCGCUUCGCCUGUGAAACUGUCGUUCGUGAGUGGGCGAGAAGUAUGUGGAAUGCGAGGUGUAGCGGUGGAAUGCAUAGAUAUCACGCAGAACACCGAUGGCGAAGGCAGCAUACCGGCGCCCAACUGACGCUGAAGCACGAAAGCGUGGGUAGCGAACAGGAUUAGAUACCCCGGUAGUC
rnacentral:rRNA from 1 species